AUGAUGUGUGGUGGCAUAUUUUGCAGGUGGCACCUCAGUUCCUGAUUUGUUAUGAUCCUAGGAUAUCAUCUUGCAUUUUGAGCAUUUCGCAAGCAUGGUAAUUUGAAUUGAUGAAAAUUAUUGUUGUGUUUGCAGUGGAGAGUCCCCCAAGAAAUUGCCCCAUAGGACAGUUGCCCUAUGCCAGAAAUAUAUGCUGCUUCCUUGGCUAAAACUGAGAAUCUCAUAGAUGUGUUAGCCUUCACUACAGGAUCUCCCUCAUAAUUUGGCUACACAACUUUAUUAACGUAUUCUGUGUUCUUACAGAUGCCUGACCCAGUUUCCAUUAAAAAAACCAACACCAAACAAUUCAUACUCUGUCUCAACACAAAACUGUAAGAGGUCUAUCAUGUCAACUGCUUUAUAUACUGGUCUUAUUAUGAAAACCGAGGUUAUGUGACCCACAAUGGCUAUUAUAGUGUACAGCUUCUGUUUAUUUUCCUCAAAAGCUUUUGCAGAAAACUCAAUAAGCUGCUGAGCAACUGGCACCUUUUUCCUGUUCAUGACAGGAUGUUAGAAGCAUCUUCAUCUGAUCUACUGUACCAUCCAUUUUGAGCACUCUCUUGCAGUUUCACUGAAGUCUUUUACUUGGUACAAACUUUGGUAAUGUAUGUGCCCUGUACCCCUUGUAAUACUGGUUAGGGAAAUAAAAUGCAAAAAUGACAUACAAGUUCUUUCAAAAAAGCUAAA